UACAAAGGGGGCUAGCGUUGUUCGGAAUUACUGGGCGUAAAGCGCGCGUAGGCGGUUUUGCAAGCCAGAGGUGAAAUGCCUGAGCUCAACUCAGGAAUGGCCUUUGGGACUGCGAGGCUUUGAGGACUGGAGAGGUGAGUGGAAUUCCUGGUGUAGCGGUGAAAUGCGUAGAUAUCAGGAGGAACACCGGUGGUGUAGACGGCUUUCUGGACCGUAACUGACGCUGAGACACG
rnacentral:rRNA from 1 species